GCAUUGGUAGUUCAGUGGUAGAAUUCCUGCCUCCCGUGCAAGAGACCAGAGUUUGAUUCCUGCCCAGUGCA
rnacentral:tRNA from 1 species